GGGUUGUGAGGUUAAGCGACUAAGCGUACACGGUGGAUGCCCUGGCAGUCAGAGGCGAUGAAGGGCGUGCUAAUCUGCGAUAAGCGCCGGUAAGGUGAUAUGAACCGUUAUAACCGGCGAUACCCGAAUGGGGAAACCCAGUGUGACUCGUCACACUAUCAUUAACUGAAUCCAUAGGUUAAUGAGGCGAACCGGGGGAACUGAAACAUCUAAGUACCCCGAGGAAAAGAAAUCAACCGAGAUUCCCCCAGUAGCGGCGAGCGAACGGGGAGGAGCCCAGAGCCUGAAUCAGCAUGUGUGUUAGUGGAAGCGUCUGGAAAGGCGCGCGAUACAGGGUGACAGCCCCGUACACAAAAGCGCAUGUGCUGUGAGCUCGAUGAGUAGGGCGGGACACGUGGUAUCCUGUCUGAAUAUGGGGGGACCAUCCUCCAAGGCUAAAUACUCCUGACUGACCGAUAGUGAACCAGUACCGUGAGGGAAAGGCGAAAAGAACCCCGGCGAGGGGAGUGAAAAAGAACCUGAAACCGUGUACGUACAAGCAGUGGGAGCACAGGUUUACCUGUGUGACUGCGUACCUUUUGUAUAAUGGGUCAGCGACUUAUAUUCUGUAGCAAGGUUAACCGAAUAGGGGAGCCGGAGGGAAACC
rnacentral:rRNA from 1 species